rnacentral:lncRNA from 1 species
AAAAAAAAAAAAAAAUCAAGGUGGAACAGGUUAGAGGAAGACACAUGCCAUCAACCUCUGGUCUCCAUGAGUACGUACAUACAGUCGCUCAUUUUCUCUCUCUCUCUCUCUCUCUCACACACACACACACAGAGAGAGAGAAACACACACCUACAGGAGCAUGAUACAAACACAUAUACAAGCAUACACCACAGAGGUGAGGAGAAAAAGGUUGGGGAAAGUCCUAUUCCUUUGGCCACUUCUUAGUGAAAGAGAAAAAGCACAAGACUCUUUAUUUCCAGAAGUGUCUCAUUUUGAACACACAGGGGGGCUAACUUUUGCCUUUCUGAGUUUGUAGCUAGCACAGUGGAGCCUGCCUGUGCAUACAGUUACCUAGCCUGACAGUUUCUCCUUGCAGCACCGUAAAAGCGUGAGAAAUUAUCCCUUUCAUGGUACUUUCUUUUCCUUCCUCCAUGAGGUUUCCAGAUUUCUUCAGGGACACCUAAAUUCAUGAAUCAGCACAGCUGGGCAGCAAGCAGGAACACCACUAUAAUACAAACAUUUUUCUUGUAAAAAUCUGUUUGGAAGAUUCUGGACUGCUGGAGAUUUGUUUUAUGAAAGAUGUUUCCCUCCGGAUUAUGUGACUGGAAACCUGAUUCAAAGCAUGCCUUCAUCCCUUUUGCUUUUGUCUGGACAAGUGGUUGUAACACUGAGUUUUCAGCUUAAGCCCUGUAUGAGACUUAAGUCAUAAACCAGCAAUUUCGGUUGGGAAGGACCAGAGACAAGCUGCAACCCCCACUUCCUUUAACUGCGUUAUUGCAGAAACAGAAAGCUUUGCUCUUUUGUUUUCGAUGUUUGAGUGUUUUGAGACCACCCUCCACGAAUUGUUUUAUUUCCCCUAAAACUGCCUUUGGGAUCCUCCCAGUAAUUUACAGAAGAGUGCAAACGCUUGCUGAGGAAGCUUGAUUAAAAUGUUAUAACCUGCCUCAGAGGCCAUCUUGUUUGGAUCUAUAUCUCUUCUGCUGAGCUCCGGGUUCUGCACCUUGAUACACAGUUUCCGUAUUCAGCUAGCUGCCCCACUCUUGCCAAUGUUAACCCUCCCAGAUCAUCUCCCAGGCCUUUUAAAAGAUACUGUUUCUUCCUGGUCUCUGCCUGCUCCUUUGUAUCUUGUCUCUCUGCACCUCCCUUUGCCUCUCUGUUCAUCAGCAUCUUCUACUGCUGCAAACUAUGUUCUUAAAUGACUGGCUAAUAGCAUCCCUUCCCCAGAAAAAG